ACGUAGGGGGCAAGCGUUAUCCGGAAUUAUUGGGGGAAAAGAGGGGGUAGGGGGUUUUUAAGGGGGGAGGGGAAAGCAAAAAGCUUAAUUAUUGAAACCCUUGCGAACUGGAAGACUUGAGUGCAGGAGAGGAAAGUGGAAUUCCUAGUGUAGCGGUGAAAUGCGUAGAUAUUAGGAGGAACACCAGUGGCGAAGGCGACUUUCUGGACUGUAACUGACACUGAGGCACGAAAGCGUGGGGAGCAAACAG
rnacentral:rRNA from 1 species